rnacentral:rRNA from 1 species
AUUGAACGCUGGCGGCAUGCCUUACACAUGCAAGUCGAACGGUAACGGGCCUUCGGGUGCCGACGAGUGGCGAACGGGUGAGUAAUACUUCGGAACGUGCCCGAUCGUGGGGGAUAACGAGGCGAAAGCUUUGCUAAUACCGCAUACGAUCUACGGAUGAAAGCAGGGGACCGCAAGGCCUUGCGCGGACGGAGCGGCCGAUGGCAGAUUAGGUAGUUGGUGGGAUAAAGGCUUACCAAGCCGACGAUCUGUAGCUGGUCUGAGAGGAUGAUCAGCCACACUGGGACUGAGACACGGCCCAGACUCCUACGGGAGGCAGCAGUGGGGAAUUUUGGACAAUGGGCGCAAGCCUGAUCCAGCCAUGCCGCGUGCAGGAUGAAGGCCUUCGGGUUGUAAACUGCUUUUGUACGGAACGAAAAGCCUUCUUUUAAUACAGGAGGGUCAUGACGGUACCGUAAGAAUAAGCACCGGCUAACUACGUG